rnacentral:rRNA from 1 species
UGUGUAAGCGCAGCGAUGCGUUGAGCUAACCGGUACUAAUGAACCGUGAGGGUUAACCUUACAACGCCGAAGGUGUUU